rnacentral:rRNA from 1 species
GUAGGUCACGAGCGUUGUCCGGAAUUACUGGGUGUAAAGGGAGCGCAGGCGGGUAGACAAGUUGGGAGUGAAAUGCAUGGGCUCAACCCAUGAACUGCUCUCAAAACUGUAGAUCUUGAGUAGUGCAGAGGUAGGCGGAAUUCCCGGUGUAGCGGUGGAAUGCGUAGAUAUCGGGAGGAACACCAGUGGCGAAGGCGGCCUACUGGGCACCAACUGACGCUGAGGCUCGAAAGUGUGGGUAGCAAACAGUAUUAGAUACCCUGGUAGUCCACACCGUAAACGAUGAUUACUAGGUGUUGGAGGAUAGACCCCUUCAGUGCCGCAGUUAACACAAUAAGUAAUCCACCUGGGGAGUACGACCGCAAGGUUG